rnacentral:rRNA from 1 species
UACGUAGGGGGCAAGCGUUGUCCGGAAUCAUUGGGCGUAAAGCGCGUGUAGGCGGUCCGGUAAGUCCGCUGUGAAAGUCGGGGGCUCAACCCUCGGAUGCCGGUGGAUACUGUCGGGCUUGAGUACGGAAGAGGCGAGUGGAAUUCCUGGUGUAGCGGUGGAAUGCGCAGAUAUCAGGAGGAACACCGAUAGCGAAGGCAGCUCGCUGGGACGGUACUUACGCUGAGGCGCGAAAGCGUGGGGAGCGAACAGG